GAUGAACGCUGGCGGCGUGCCUAAUACAUGCAAGUCGAGCGAACGGACGAGAAGCUUGCUUUUCUGAUGUUAGCGGCGGACGGGUGAGUAACACGUGGAUAACCUACCUAUAAGACUGGGAUAACUUCGGGAAACCGGAGCUAAUACCGGAUAAUAUUUUGAACCGCAUGGUUCAAAAGUGAAAGACGGUCUUGCUGUCACUUAUAGAUGGAUCCGCGCUGCAUUAGCUAGUUGGUAAGGUAACGGCUUGCCAAGGCAACGAUGCAUAGCCGACCUGAGGGGGUGAUCGGCCACACUGGAACUGAGACACGGUCCAGACUCCUACGGGAGGCAGCAGUAGGGAAUCUUCCGCAAUGGGCGAAAGCCUGACGGAGCAACGCCGCGUGAGUGAUGAAGGUCUUCGGAUCGUAAAACUCUGUUAUUAGGGAAGAACAUAUGUGUAAGUAACUGUGCACAUCUUGACGGUACCUAAUCAGAAAGCCACGGCUAACUACGUG
rnacentral:rRNA from 1 species